rnacentral:rRNA from 1 species
AGAGUUUGAUCCUGGCUCAGGACGAACGCUGGCGGCGCGCCUAACACAUGCAAGUCGAACGGAGCUUAGAGAGCUUGCUUUUUAAGCUUAGUGGCGAACGGGUGAGUAACGCGUGAGUAACCUGCCCUAGAGUGGGGGACAACAGUUGGAAACGACUGCUAAUACCGCAUAAGCCCACGGUACCGCAUGGUACUGAGGGAAAAGGAUUUAUUCGCUUUAGGAUGGACUCGCGUCCAAUUAGCUAGUUGGUGAGGUAACGGCCCACCAAGGCGACGAUUGGUAGCCGGACUGAGAGGUUGAACGGCCACAUUGGGACUGAGACACGGCCCAGACUCCUACGGGAGGCAGCAGUGGGGGAUAUUGCACAAUGGGGGAAACCCUGAUGCAGCGACGCCGCGUGGAGGAAGAAGGUUUUCGGAUUGUAAACUCCUGUUGUUGAGGAAGAUAAUGACGGUACUCAACAAGGAAGUGACGGCUAACUACGUGCCAGCAGCCGCGGUAAAACGUAGGUCACAAGCGUUGUCCGGAAUUACUGGGUGUAAAGGGAGCGCAGGCGGGAAGACAAGUUGGAAGUGAAAUCCAUGGGCUCAACCCCAUGAACUGCUUUCAAAACUGUUUUUCUUGAGUAGUGCAGAGGUAGGCGGAAUUCCCCGGGGGUAGCGGUGGGAAUGCGUAGAUAUCGGGAGGAACACCAGUGGCGAAGGCGGGCCUACUGGGGCACCAACUGACGUUGAGGCUCGAAAAGUGUGGGUAGCAAACAGGAUUAGAUACCCUGGUAGUCCACACUGUAAACGAUGAUUACUAGGUGUUGGAGGAUUGACCCCUUCAGUGCCGCAGUUAACACAAUAAGUAAUCCACCUGGGGAGUACGACCGCAAGGUUGAAACUCAAAGGAAUUGACGGGGGCCCGCACAAGCAGUGGAGUAUGUGGUUUAAUUCGACGCAACGCGAAGAACCUUACCAAGUCUUGACAUCCUGCGACGGUGCUGGAAACAGUACUUUCCUUCGGGACGCAGAGACAGGUGGCGCAUGGUUGUCGUCAGCUCGUGUCGUGAGAUGUUGGGUUAAGUCCCGCAACGAGCGCAACCCUUAUGGUCAGUUACUACGCAAGAGGACUCUGGCCAGACUGCCGUUGACAAAACGGAGGAAGGUGGGGAUGACGUCAAAUCAUCAUGCCCUUUAUGACUUGGGCUACACACGUACUACAAUGGCGUUAAACAAAGAGAAGCAAGACCGCGAGGUGGAGCAAAACUCAGAAACAACGUCCCAGUUCGGACUGCAGGCUGCAACUCGCCUGCACGAAGUCGGAAUUGCUAGUAAUCGCAGAUCAGCAUGCUGCGGUGAAUACGUUCCCGGGCCUUGUACACACCGCCCGUCA